AGCAGCCGCGGUAAUUCCAGCUCCAAUAGCGUAUAUUAAAGUUGCUGCAGUUAAAAAGCUCGUAGUUGAAUUUCGGGAUCAAUAUGUUGGUCGUGCCUUGGUACGUACUAGCUUAUUGAUUUCUCCUUUCUGACGAACCAUGAUGUCAUUAAUUUGGUGUCAUGGGGAAUCAGGACUGUUACUUUGAAAAAAUUGAGUGUUUAAAGCAGGCUCGCGCUUGAAUACAUUAGCAUGGAAUAAUGAAAUAGGACAUUUGAUUCUAUUUUGUGGUUUCUAGGAUCGAUGUAAUGAUUAAUAGGGAUAGUUGGGGGCAUUAGUAUUCAAUUGUCAGAGUGAAAUUCUUGGAUUUAUGAAGACUAACUACUGCGAAAGCAUCUGCCAAGGAUGUUUUCAUUAAUCAAGACGAAAGUUAGGGGAUCGAGGACGAUCAGAUACCGUCGUAGUCUUAACCAUAAACUAUGCCGACUAGGGAUCGGAUGAUGUUAAAUUUUU
rnacentral:rRNA from 1 species